UAGAUCCUACGGGACGCAGCAGUGAGGAAUAUUGGUCAAUGGCCGAGAGGCUGAACCAGCCACGUCGCGUGAGGGAUGACGGCCCUACGGGUUGUAAACCUCUUUUGUCGGGGAGCAAGACCCGCCACGAGUGGCGGAGCGAGAGUACCUGAAGAAAAAGCAUCGGCUAACUCCGUGCCAGCAGCCGCGGUAAUACGGAGGAUGCGAGCGUUAUCCGGAUUUAUUGGGUUUAAAGGGUGCGUAGGCGGAAUGCCAAGGCAGCGGUAAAAUCGCGGGGCUCAACCUCGCUCCGCCGUUGAAACUGG
rnacentral:rRNA from 1 species